rnacentral:rRNA from 1 species
GGUUGAUCCUGCCAGUAGUGAUAUGCUUGUUUCAAAGAUUAAGCCAUGCAUGUCUAAGUAUAAGCGAACUUAUACAGUGAAACUGCGGAUGGCUCAUUAAAACAGUUUGAAUUUAUUUGAUGGAUGUGCGAAAGUACUACAUGGAUAACCGUAGUAAUUCUAGAGCUAAUACAUGCAAGAACGCUCGACUCACGAAGAGCUGUAUUUAUUGGAUACAAAAACCAAACCUGGCAACAGGUUCUGUUUGUUGAUUCACAAUAACUGAUCGGACCGAGGACUAGUCUUCGGUAGG